rnacentral:rRNA from 1 species
GAUCGAGAGAACUCUCGUUAAGGAACUCGGCAAAAUGACCCCGUAACUUCGGGAGAAGGGGUGCUCUGUUAGGGUGCAAGCCCGAGAGAGCCGCAGUGAAUAGGCCCAGGCGACUGUUUAGCAAAAACACAGGUCUCUGCGAAGCCGUAAGGCGAAGUAUAGGGGCUGACGCCUGCCCGGUGCUGGAAGGAUAAGAGGAGCGCUUAGCGUAAGCGAAGGUGCGAAUUGAAGCCCCAGUAAACGGCGGCCGUAACUAUAACGGUCCUAAGGUAGCGAAAUUCCUUGUCGGGUAAGUUCCGACCCGCACGAAAGGCGCA